rnacentral:rRNA from 1 species
GACGAACGCUGGCGGCGUGCUUAACACAUGCAAGUCGAGCGGUAAGGCUCCUUCGGGAGUACACGAGCGGCGAACGGGUGAGUAACACGUGAGUAACCUGCCCCAAUCAUCGGGAUAACCAUUGGAAACGAUGGCUAAUACCGAAUACGACCACCGAAGGCAUCUUCUGGUGGUGGAAAGCUCCGGCGGAUUGGGAUGGACUCGCGGCCUAUCAGCUUGUUGGUGAGGUAAUGGCUCACCAAGGCAACGACGGGUAGCCGGCCUGAGAGGGUGACCGGCCACACUGGGACUGAGACACGGCCCAGACUCCUACGGGAGGCAGCAGUGGGGAAUAUUGGACAAUGGGCGCAAGCCUGAUCCAGCAACGCCGCGUGAGGGAUGACGGCCUUCGGUUGUAAACGUACUUCUAGUAGGGACGAAGACGAAAGUAGACGGUACCGUACCAAGAAGAAGGAACCGGACCGAACCUACGUAGCCACGCAGCCGCGGUAAACGUAGUAGUGUA